CCUACGGGAGGCAGCAGUGAGGAAUAUUGGUCAAUGGACGAGAGCCUGAACCAGCCAAGUAGCGUGAAGGAUGACUGCCCUACGGGUUGUAAACUUCUUUUAUAAAGGAAUAAAACGAGGCACGUGUGCCUUUUUGCAUGUACUUUAUGAAUAAGGAUCGGCUAACUCCGUGCCAGCAGCCGCGGUAAUACGGAGGAUCCGAGCGUUAUCCGGAUUUAUUGGGUUUAAAGGGAGCGUAGAUGGGUUGUUAAGUCAGUUGUGAAAGUUUGCGGCUCAACCGUAAAAUUGCAAUUGAUACUGGCAGCCUUGAGUACAGUUGAGGUAGGCGGAAUUCGUGGUGGAGCGGUGAAAUGCUUAGAUAUCACGAAGAACCCCGAUUGCGAAGGCAGCUUACUAAACUGUGACUGACAUUGAUGCACGAAAGUGUGGGUAUCAAACAGGAUUAGAUACCCUUGUAGUC
rnacentral:rRNA from 1 species